UGCCUCAUCCAAUGAACGGGUAAUGUCCCAU
rnacentral:piRNA from 1 species